AACGAACGCUGGCGGCGUGGAUAAGACAUGCAAGUCGAACGGGACAUUUUUAGUAGUAAUAUUAGAGAUGUUCAGUGGCGAACGGGUGCGUAACACGUGGAUACAUUCCGGAAAGCGGGGGAUAGCCCAGGGAAACUUGGAUUAAUACCGCAUGUGGUCGCAAGACUAAAGACGGGGAUCGAAAGACCUGUCACUUUCCGAUUGGUCCGCGGCCUAUCAGCUAGUUGGCAGGGUAAAAGCCCACCAAGGCGACGACGGGUAGCCGGUCUUAGAGGACGACCAGCCACACUGGAACUGAGACACGGUCCAGACACCUACGGGUGGCAGCAGUCGAGAAUCUUUCACAAUGGGGGCAACCCUGAUGGAGCGACGCCGCGUGGAGGAUAAGGUCUUCGGAUUGUAAACUCCUGUCAUGCGAGAACAAGGUUGCAGGGCUAAUACCCGUGCAAAUUGAUGGUACCGCAAGAGGAAGAGACGGCUAACUCUGUGCCAGCCGCCGCCGUAACAC
rnacentral:rRNA from 1 species